rnacentral:rRNA from 1 species
AACGCUGGCGGCGUGCCUAAUACAUGCAAGUCGAGCGAACAGAUAAGGAGCUUGCUCCUUUGACGUUAGCGGCGGACGGGUGAGUAACACGUGGAUAACCUACCUAUAAGACUGGGAUAACUUCGGGAAACCGGAGCUAAUACCGGAUAACAUAUUGAACCGCAUGGUUCAAUAGUGAAAGGCGGCUUUGCUGUCACUUAUAGAUGGAUCCGCGCCGUAUUAGCUAGUUGGUAAGGUAACGGCUUACCAAGGCAACGAUACGUAGCCGACCUGAGAGGGUGAUCGGCCACACUGGAACUGAGACACGGUCCAGACUCCUACGGGAGGCAGCAGUAGGGAAUCUUCCGCAAUGGGCGAAAGCCUGACGGAGCAACGCCGCGUGAGUGAUGAAGGUCUUCGGAUCGUAAAACUCUGUUAUCAGGGAAGAACAAAUGUGUAAGUAACUGUGCACAUCUUGACGGUACCUGAUCAGAAAGCCACGGCUAACUACGUGCCAGCAGCCGCGGUAAUACGUAGGUGGCAAGCGUUAUCCGGAAUUAUUGGGCGUAAAGCGCGCGUAGGCGGUUUUUUAAGUCUGAUGUGAAAGCCCACGGCUCAACCGUGGAGGGUCAUUGGAAACUGGAAAACUUGAGUGCAAAGAGGAAAGUGGAAUUCCAUGUGUAGCGUGAGAUGCGCAAGAUAUGGAGGAAGCCGGUGGCGAAGGCGACUUUCUGGUCUGGACUGACGCUGAUUGCGAAAGCGUGAGAUAAACAGGAUUAGAUACCCUGGUAGUCCACGCCGUAAACGAUGAGUUGCUAAGUGUUAGGGGGUUUCCGCCCCUUAGUGCUGCAGCUAACGCAUUAAGCACUCCGCCUGGGGAGUACGACCGCAAGGUUGAAACUCAAAGGAAUUCGACGGGGACCCGCACAAGCGGUGGAGCAUGUGGUUUAAUUCGAAGCAACGCGAAGAACCUUACCAAAUCUUGACAUCCUUUGACCGCUCUAGAGAUAGAGUCUUCCCCUUCGGGGGACAAAGUGACAGGUGGUGCAUGGUUGUCGUCAGCUCGUGUCGUGAGAUGUUGGGUUAAGUCCCGCAACGAGCGCAACCCUUAAGCUUAGUUGCCAUCAUUAAGUUGGGCACUCUAAGUUGACUGCCGGUGACAAACCGGAGGAAGGUGGGGAUGACGUCAAAUCAUCAUGCCCCUUAUGAUUUGGGCU